rnacentral:rRNA from 1 species
GACGAACGCUGGCGGCGUGCCUAACACAUGCAAGUCGAUCGGAGCAGCAAUGCUUAGAGGCGAACGGGUGAGGAAAACGUAGUAACCAACCCUUUAGACUGGGAUAGCCACUGGAAACGGUGGGUAAUACCGGAUAAGCUCGAGAGAGGAAAGGCAGAGAAGCGCUAAAGGACGGAACUGCGCCCAUCAGAUAGUUGGUGAGGUAAAGGCUUACCAAGUCAAAGACGGGAAACCGACGUGAGAGCGUGUACGGUCACAAGGGCACUGAGAGACGGGCCCUACUCCUACGGGAGGCAGCAGUGGGGAAUAUUGGACAAUGGACGAAAGUCUGAUCCAGCGACGCCGCGUGGAGGAAGAAGUCCUUCGGGAUGUAAACUCAUGAAGCUAACGAAUAAGACGGAAGGGGAACCUUCCGGGAGAAGGUAAUUAGUGAAAAGCCCCGGCUAACUACGUG